rnacentral:rRNA from 1 species
GACGAACGCUGGCGGCGUGCUUAACACAUGCAAGUCGAACGGAAAGGCCCUGCUUUUGUGGGGUGCUCGAGUGGCGAACGGGUGAGUAACACGUGAGUAACCUGCCCUUGACUUUGGGAUAACUUCAGGAAACUGGGGCUAAUACCGGAUAUGAGCUCCUGCUGCAUGGUGGGGGUUGGAAAGUUUCGGCGGUUGGGGAUGGACUCGCGGCUUAUCAGCUUGUUGGUGGGGUAGUGGCUUACCAAGGUUUUGACGGGUAGCCGGCCUGAGAGGGUGACCGGCCACAUUGGGACUGCGAUACGGACCAGACUCCUACGGGAGGCAGCAGUGGGGAAUAUUGCACAAUGGGCGGAAGCCUGAUGCAGCAACGCCGCGUGCGGGAUGACGGCCUUCGGGUUGUAAACCGCUUUCGCCUGUGGCGAAGCGUGAGUGACGGUAAUGGGUAAAGAAGCACCGGCUAACUACGUG